UCUGCAUAUGUGUACAUGCAUGCAUGUGGGGGGAGGCAGGAAGGGGAGGAGAGGAAGAGGGGACCGAUGACCGCUGACCUCCCCAUGUAGCUCAGGGGCCUGGACCCAGUUUGGAUCUCCUCUCGGGCCCAGGGACAGGCCCUGUUUGUUUUCUCUGGCCCCCUCCUCACCCCUUUCUCAGGAGCAGCAUGGGAAACUUGGCCCCUAGAGUAAGACCUCAGAGCAACCUGUCAGGGCAGAGUAUCUCCAGCAGAUGAGGUUGCAGAAAGAAUGCUGGGUCGGGUUCUGGCUUGUUUGACCUUGACCACUUCCCAUGCCAAGCCUCAGUUUCUUGAUCUAUAGAAUGGGGAUGUAAUCCUUUUACUCUCCUGCCUAAGCCAGUUGUGAGGCAAGUGCCUAGUCAUUAAUAUAAUUCAAGCCAUUGACAGAGAUGUGUUUUUGACUGAUUGAUUUCACAUUUUUAGCAAUGACUGAGAGCUCAAUAGAUGUCAGCAUUGUGAUGUGGCCCCCAGGGAGGCUCAUGCAAUUGGACCUGUGGCUGCAUUAGGCAGCAGGGUUGUCUUCUAGGUCGUGGUCCCCACCAUCCUCUGUCCAGGUCAGGCAGCACCUGGAGUGUUUCCUUCAGUUCUGGAGAGCACGGUUGUGAGUCCUCUGGGAAGCUGGUGAAGGUCCAGUGUCCAGAGGAGAGCUAUCAGGAUGGCGAAAGGCUGUGAUCCUUGCUGAAGGGCACGUUUAGAUUGAAGAAGAGAAGAUGUGGGGAGGGGGCUGAUGGGAGAGCUGUCUCCAAGUGUCUGAAGGGUUGCAUGUGGAAGAGGGAAUACACUUGUUCUGUCUGGAGCUGUAAACAGGGACAAAUUUAGGCUGGAAGACAGAAAAGAGCAGGCCGUCUCAGGCAGGAGGAUCCUUUUGAUGGAGUCUUUAAGCAGAGGCUGGAGGUCCGUUUUUCAGUGGGUAAAUCGCGCCUACAGUCCCUCCUGAAACCAGCACCAAGACUGCGUCAGCCGACUGCCUCCACGGUCCUGCUCAGACGGUGCCACGACCAUUACCCAGCUCCAUUCAGUUGCUCAUUUUGAGAAAAAGAGGAACAAGGUGGAAAGUCAGAGCUGGAUAUAUCCUCCGGUGUAAGAGCCGGGACAGAUUGUAGGGAGCAUCUAUUCCAACCCCCUCACUCUACAUAUGAGAAAAUGGAGGUACCAGAGAAACUGAAGUGACUUGUAAUCCCCAUUAAACUGAAGACAAAAGUAUGAGACCCAGGUUCAGGGAGAGGAGCCCAGAGCUGCAGAAAAUUGCGAGCUGGAAUCCAGGCCACGUUCUGCAGUGGGUUCAUCAUUGGUGCUCCAAGGCUUUCUGGAGUGACCUUUGGGACCUCAUUCCUGACUCAGGCCAGACUCAUCCUGUAGUAAUACUGACUUUAGGUCAAUAGGCUCCCAGCCUCUCCAGGAAGAUGGGUGAUAACAGCUAAGCAAGUCGACGGGUCUGCACACAUACCACACCCCCUUUACUCUGGAAAAAAGAUGUGGUGAUAACAAAGAUCCAGCUUGGCUUCAUCAAGAACUGGGCGUGCCACACUAAAUCUUAUUUCCUUUUUUGACAAGGAAGGAUGAGGCAGUGGGGCACAGUGGUGGUGUGUGCAGUAAUUCCUGCUACUGGAAAGGCUAGAGCCAGGGAGUUCCGAGCUGCAGGGGGCUGUGCUGCUCAGCUGUCUCAACUACGUUUGGCAUUAAUAUGGGCUGCUGGGAGCUCCAGUGGACAGACUGCCAGACCUACCAUAAGGAAGACCUGAGUCCAAAUUUGGCCGCAGACACUACUACCU